GUCCUUGAGACGUAAUGGAUAGCGCAUCGGACUUUUAAUUCGAAGGUUACGGGUUUGAAUCCCGUUAAAAACU
rnacentral:tRNA from 1 species